AACGAACGCUGGCGGCAUGCCUAACACAUGCAAGUCGAACGAGACCUUCGGGUCUAGUGGCGCACGGGUGCGUAACGCGUGGGAACCUGCCCUUAUGUUCGGAAUAACUCCCCUAAAGGGGUGCUAAUACCGGAUAAUUUCUUCUGACCAAACAUUUUUCGCCGUUGGAUGGGCCCGCGUUGGAUCAGCUUGUUGGUAGGGUAAAAGCCUACCAAGGCGACGAUCCAUAGCUGGUCUAAGAGGAGGACCAGCCACCCUGGGGCUGAGACACGGCCGAAACUCGGACGAGGGGCGGAAGUGGGAAAUAGUGGAACCGGGGGGAAGGACAAAUCCAGCGAGGCCGAGAGAGUGAUGAAGGGGAUAGGGGUGUAACGCUCUUUUACCCGGGUGGAUAGACGGUGCCCCGAGAGAAAACGCCGGGUAAAUCCCUG
rnacentral:rRNA from 1 species